CCGACCCCGUCCGCCUCUUCCCAGACCGGACACCCAACCACAGGAGCUUGGUCGGAGGUGUCACAGCUCACACAUUCACCUCCCAAGUCUGCUGCCUGCCUCAGUUUAUCUACAAAUUCAAUGACUUUCCUUAUCCUCAAAUGCUGCUUCCUUUAUUGCCCAAGGGAAACUGAGGCCGGCAUUUGGCAUCAGCAGGUCAGGGGAGAGUACGUGGCACUGCAACAAAAGGGCAGCAACUUUCUGGCCGCCCGUGACCUGUGCCUGCCGGGAGUUAUCUUCACUGACCUCCCUCAGAGGAGGCCGCUCUCCUCAAGGCCGCCCACCUGCAACAAUGCAGGCCUCUCAGCAAACCUGUCCCUUUUGGGGCAGCUCUUCC